AGAGUUUGAUCAUGGCUCAGGAUGAACGCUAGCUACAGGCUUAACACAUGCAAGUCGAGGGGCAUCAGUUUGGUUUGCUUGCAAACCAAAGCUGGCGACCGGCGCACGGGUGAGUAAUACGUAUCCAACCUGCCUCAUACUCGGGGAUAGCCUUUCGAAAGAAAGAUUAAUAUCCGAUAGCAUAUAUUUCCCGCAUGGGUUUAUAUUAAAGAAAUUCGGUAUGAGAUGGGGAUGCGUUCCAUUAGUUGUUGGCGGGGUAACGGCCCACCAAGACUACGAUGGAUAGGGGUUCUGGAGAGGAACGGUCCCCCACAUUGGAACUGAGACACGGUCCAAACUCCGUACGGGAGGCA
rnacentral:rRNA from 1 species